GCCAAAAUGGGAAGGGGAAAAGACUCAUAUCAACACAUCUUAAUAGGACACAUAGAUCUGGGAAAGUAUACCACUACUGGCCAUCUGAUCUAUAAAUAAGGUGGAAUCAACCAAAGAACCAUCAACAACUUGAAGAGGCUGCUCAGAUGAGAAAGGGCUACUUCACAUAUGCCUGGAUCUUGGAUACACUGAAAGUGAAAUGAUGAAACUUCAGUGAUGAACUAAUUAAAAACCAUUAUCUUCCUACUCAAAACACCAGUCUGUAACUACAUCCACAGUCCACAGAUCACCAAUCUACUGGGAUUUUUCAAGAUGAAACUUGCUGUCUCCUGCCUUUAGGGAAUGUGAAAUCAACAUUAUUUCUACCUUUAGGGGUUUCAAGAAUUUGCAAAAGACUUGAUUUGAAAGCAAGUGGCAGAGCCAGGACAAUGGUCUCUUCCAUCGACUAGACUAUGGUUGACUGCAGGUAACUGAAACCACGGAACACCAAACCACAGAUAAGGGAGGACUGCUGUUUCUCAUCUACAAGGUUUGAUUAAAUCAGUCCUUACUCUCAA